GAUCCCGUAGCUCAGUUGGAUAGAGUAUCGGCCUCCGAAGCCGAGGGUCAACAGUUCGAUUCUGUUCGGGAUCACCA
rnacentral:tRNA from 1 species